AAGGUGACAUGAAUUUAAUAAAGGCGUCAUACACUAAUAUAAUAAGAUAUAUCAUAGAUUUACAUAAAUUGUAUAAAUAUGAUAAGCUGUCGACGUAAACAUGGAGAGGGUUUGAUGUCGCGGCCAGAUGCAGCUGUUAUAAUGGCAGACAAUGUAGCUGGAUGGGUGUUUUGUUUACCACAAAGACCAGCAGGUGCCGGCAUCAAUGCCAAGAUACACAAUUACUUUAAAGGCCAUCUUUUAAAUGCCAACAUAUGUGACCAAUGAUCAAUGCUAUAGUGUUUAUAACGGUGGGUACCUCAAGAGAAAUGCACUUUGAAACCGCACGCUAAUCCGGGAUUUUCACACAUAGUCAACUCCACCAUGCUGAAAUUCUUCGUUGCUGUGGCCCUGACCACAUUCGCCUAUGUCUCCGCCCAGAACUGCGAUGGUUGUGUGGACGAAGACGGUUCAUGCAAAGGAGUUUCGGAGGUACGGAUGUCCAUUACAGAGGACAAAAGCUUCUGUGCCUACGAGAAAUGUAAAUCUAAUGGCAACUGGCAGUUGUUUCAGUACAAGUGCUACUACGAGCCCUCUGAUAC